UCGUUUGUCCUUAUGGCUUCAUGCUGAUAAUUUGAGAUACUGUGGUUAAGAAUGUUCAGUACAAUGCCACUGGUGUCAAACAAAUUAGAAGAUGAACAUUCUUGGAGAACUUUUUGAGGAAAGUACUUAGUUCUUACAUUCAAUUCUAGAUCCUAGAAACUUGGAUAAAUAACUAGCUAUCUUUUAAUGCAGAUAUACAGACUUAUGCAGCAUGCAAAUGUAACAAAUAAAAAACAUGUUUUUUCCCAUUAAGUUAAUGGUGAAUUAAGACUUUUUUACUGUGUUUGGUGGUGUCUGGUCCUCAGGACGAUCAACCAUAUUUUUAGGCACUUCUCUUCAAGAAUAGUGAUUAUAGCAAUGGAUUUGAAAUGUUCUUUUCUAGAUUGUCUAUGGAUUGACAGCAUUUAUUGGUUUUUAAUUGGAUAUAAGGCAGGCACUAAAACUCAUUUUAUUACGCCCUUCUAUGAUGUUUUGAUGAAUAAAUGGUCUCAGAUGCUUAGUAGACAUACUAAUUUCACGUUAGUAGCAGUCACCACUUUCUCUUGUUCUUUUUCAAUAUUUAUUUAUUAUUGUGAAAACUAUUUUGUUACUGAUUUGUUAAAUAACUUCUUAUGAGCAUGAUGCAUGGGAGGGCGUUACCAACAGUGUUCUUAUAAUUUAAGCUGAUAACCGCGAAUAUGAUUUUAGGUUAUAUCCUGCUUUUUUUGGACUGACCAUUCCCAGGCUUAUUUGUGUCCCUUUGCCUCAUUUCCUCCAUCUAUGGUGCCUCUGUUCUUUUAAGGCUGUGUUCAUAUGUUAGUUCUCAUAGAAUGGGUAUAUGACUGAAUGUGAACUUGUUCCUUUUUCUUUCUUAUCCAGUCAAUUAUGUGUGACUUAUGGAUAAAAUAUGUAAUAAUGUUUAUUUAGCUGCUGCUUGUAUUUUUCUGUUACAGGAUGCACAAAAUAGAGUUGCAGCAUAUGCUCUUUGUCAGCUGUUUCCAGAUCUACCCAUUCAACUUGUAGUCACUGAGCCUUAUUCUUCUCUCAGUUUUCGAUGGAAAGAAGG
rnacentral:lncRNA from 1 species